UUAGCUGCAAAGCAAACUCCAGGGACUUCUGCUCACACGUACAAGAACAAACAGGCGGAAAAGAUCAUUAUUGUCAAGAAAUAUGAGCUACCAAAAUCAUUCAAAGUCAUAAUCGAGCCUCCUUCAUUUGUUGCUUUUGACAGCAAACAUGUCAGCGGUAGAAUAUGCGCACGGUAUAACCAUGGCCAACCAGUCAUUGGAGAUCUGAAAGCUGUGAUUGCCACCGWAGUGAAGG